rfam:Rattus norvegicus chromosome 2, whole genome shotgun sequence.
GUUAGUUGGCUUAGAUCUAGGCCGUUUGUAUUUGUGCGGACCAGAGAAGGAGCUGACGAGCUCGGACUUCUCACCCGCAGCCCUGGAAGACGUUCCAAGGGU